rnacentral:misc_RNA from 1 species
GUGAAUCAUCGAAUUUUUGAACGCAAAUUGCGCCUUUUUCGUAAGGCAUGUCUGUUUGAGGGCACCAUUUAACAAGUAAUGUGCAGCGUUUUUGGUUGCACACGCUGAUGAGCUUUCCAAGAAUUUUAAAUUUUUGGUGGCGACUAAUGAACAGCGGGAAAGUUUUUUUCAGUUCGAGUGUAGUAAAAUCUUUGCUUGGGUGGUGAAAAAACAUAAUCGCGAAAUGUGUGUGGCGAUUCUACUAACCCUGCCCCAACGCCACUCGUUCU